rnacentral:rRNA from 1 species
CCUACGGGUGGCAGCAGUGGGGAAUAUUCCACAAUGGGCGAAAGCCUGAUGCAGCGACGCCGCGUGGGUGAAGAAGGUCUUCGGAUCGUAAACCCCUGUCAGUAGGGAAGAACGUUCGCUGGACUAACUGUUCAUGUAUUGACGGUACCUGCACAGGAAGCACCGGCUAACUCCGUGCCAGCAGCCGCGGUAAUACGUAGGGUGCAAGCGUUAAUCGGAAUUACUGGGCGUAAAGCGCCCGCAGGCGGUCUUUUAAGUCAGAUGUGAAAUCCUCGGGCUUAACGGGGGUAGUGCAUUUGAAACUGGGAAACUUGAGUGUAGGAGAGGAGAGUGGAAUUCCAUGUGUAGCGGUGAAAUGCGUAGAGAUAUGGAGGAACAUCAGUGGCGAAGGCGACUAUCUGG